AAAAGCAUUGGAUACUUCACCUAAACAGUUUAUUCUUCUCCUUCUCUCGGUUCCCUUUUCCUUACGACUAUCUUCUCCGCUUAACACAAUUCGCUUUUUGCUUCUUCUUCUUGCAUUCUUAGCUUCAACUUAUUUUCUUUCUAGCUUUUGUGGGUAACUUGGGGUUUAUCUCGCCGUAGAUCUGGGUUGGGGCUCAUAACCGAUGGUGGCUGGAGCGAGGGUUUGCGGAGUUCCAGACGACAUCAGAUCUACAGUUAUUCACCUUCCUUCUCAUCUCUCCGUCGUCAGUCACGGGUUCGGUUUUGCAAAAAAGUCGAGAUCUUCACCAUGUAAUAAAGGGUUGUGGUCCUCGUGGAGUUAGCAGGUGGUUAUAUCACCAGUAUUUGCGAAUUGAGCAAUGAUAUCAUCUUCCUCAUGCGGCUGCAGUGCUAAAAGAGAAGUGUAAGAUUGACUUGUGUGUUAUGAGUGUCACUGGCUCAAGUAAAAUGGGAAUCAACUUAUCAAGAUGGAGUUAACUUAUGUAAGAAGAGGGAGAGUCAGCCGAUGCUGAUACAUCAAGCUGUUACUACGACUGGUUGCUGCUGCUGCGAGGAAUUCAUGUGGUCACUACGACCCAAGACAUAUCAGAAUCUAAAGAUCAGAGAUCUCUAAAGAAAACCGUACACAUUACUUCUAUGAAGGAUGACGGUGGUGAGCAGUAUCUACGGUUGCCAACGGCGGCGGUGGUGGUGGUUACGGCCAAGACAUAUCACAAAAUGUUAUUUAUGUUUUAAGUUUAGUUAAUUUAUUUUAAUUUUAUUGUAUAACAAAAUAUUAUUUCAAACAAAAUUAAUUGUUUGGUUUUUCAUUUAUUUUUAAAAAAAAUUUAUUUAAUUAUUUUAAUUAUAUUCUAUUACAAAAUAAAUAAAUUUUGUUUUGUAUUUUUUAAAAAAAAAUAAUUAUUGAAUAGCUACAAAUUGCCACUUAAAAAAUUGCGGCUAUCAAAAAGUAAUUUGUAACUAUCCAAAGGUAAUUUGUGGCAGAAAUAGCCACAAAAAUAUUGUUGUGGCUAUGUCGUAGAAAGACAUCCGCGGAUUGCCACAAAUAAGCGAUAGCCACAAGCUUGACGUUGAAUUUUAUUUUGUGGCUAAUCGUAGCUAUUGAUCAAAUAGCUACGAAAAUUUAAUUUUAGCUACAAAUAUUUUGGUGGCUAUAAACAAAGUUUCUUGCAGUGACUCUAAUAAACUUCAAAAGAAGAUAAAUUUCUUUGAGCGUUUAGAUAUAGAUCCAAAACCAGUUCUGUCAAACUAGAAAUAAAUCCGGACUGCUUUUGAAAUGGAUUUAGUUGUUAAAAGCUUGUAUUGGGUAAUGAUCUGAAAUAUGUACGAAUAAAAAUAUCAUGCUAAUGAAGUUACAUGUAAAGUCAUCCGGAAGAAUCUAGGCAAGUCCAAAAAAAUAAACAAUCUAAGCAAGUUCAUUUACAAAAGUCAAAAGUCUUGAAUGUUGAGUCAAUGAGUCUGAUUGUAUGUUUUUCAUAUGUGAUUUUUUAAUCAUUGGCUAAUUUAGUAAUUUGUAAACCACCAAAUUAUACAUGAUAAUGAAAAUCUGGUAGAAAUAUAAUAUUACAUUAUUUUUUGAAAAUGUAUAGAUAUAAUAAGUAUUCUACAAAAGUACAAUUUGAAAAUAUUUACCUUCAACAGAUCUAUUACAAUCCUUUACAUGCCUUCAAAUAUCUUGUAAGGAAAUCAUUUGGUUUCAACUUGAAUCGCCUCACACAAAUCAAAAAGGUAAAACAAGAACAAACAAAGAACACUGAAGAUUGUUUAUGCGGUGUUCACCUCCUCUUUCUUAAUGUGAGAGAGAGCUAUAUUCAUCAAGGCUGGAUACUAGCCCACAAUUCACUAGAAUGUU